ACACGGAGCGCCUUCUUUUCGUUUAGAGCAUUGGUGUCUCCACAUUAGAAGCAUCCUAUGUAGCUGUUCUGCUUGCAGCUGCCCAAGUCUGCCUGGGCCUCCUGCAUGAGGUCAUGAGUCUUAAUAAAGCCACUGACCCACACAUUUGGAAUCGUACUGACUUUUCACAACUAACAGCCAACACAUUGCCAAGAAGCAAUUCAAUUGUUGAGGAUAUCACAUCAUGCCAGGGAAAGAGAGAUGGAAUUCAGAAAGCCUGGGAUAUUGCAGUUCAGAUAAAUUGCACUUGGUCAACGGAAAUGUCCUAAGGGCACUGCAGCUGCAGCUGGAGAAUGAAGAAGACAUAAAAUUAGGGCUUUUGUCACUGUCGCUUGAUUUCAUUAAAGGGCAUUAGUUCUCGGCGAGAUAUAUGGGGUUGGAGAGGACAGGAGCCAGAAGCUCCCAGUGCAGCAGCAAGGCUGGCCCACGUGAGCACCUGGAGCAUCAUUUCUGCUGCCACAUGCUUGGGCUGCCCCACCCCGCCGUGCCCUGCUCAGCCGUGCCCUGCUCCAUCUCCCUCGCCAGGCCUGAGACCGGCCCCCAGUGUGUUGUGACUCCUGAGGUCUCUCAGCUCUCCCUCAACCCCCAGGAGAAUUGCUCUCCACUCCAGAAGCCGCCUGAUGGGGAGGCUGACCCCUCUCCAGGACUGACUGAUCCAGGUUUAUCCUGACAGUAACCUCUCCCCAGGUCGGAAGACCUCUCAGGCUCUGUUUCUAGGGAGGCUGACCUGCUGACAAUGCUCCUAGCUGGAUUUUGUAAGCGGUCUUGAAUAAAGUCUUCCUCACUGUUUUAACAAGAGACAAGGUAAUGUUCAUUGAACAUCUUAUACAAAGAGGAAACCUGGCACAGAAGUGGACAUGCACUCGGAGGGAAAAUGCCAAGUGACAAUGAAGGCAGAGAUCAGGUGAUGCAUCUGCAAGCUGAGCAACAUCAGGAAUUGCCAAAAACCACCAGGAGCUGGAGAGGCCUGGGACAGAGCCUCCCACGGAGCCUCAAGGGAGCCAGCCCUGCCCACGCCUUGAUCUUUGACGUCCGACCUCAAGAACUAUGAAAGAACCCAUUUCUGUUGGUGAAGGCUCCCCGUCUGUGGUCCCCUGUCCUGGCAGCCCUAGGAACCUGACCUCUGGUCCCUCUGCAUCCCUGGCAUCACUCUGCCUCCCUCUCUUUUUCUCCAGUGAAUCCAACACACUCUCAGUGAGACAGCCAGGUGGCAAGGGGUUCUCGGAGAAACUCCAGCCGGCCUGCUCGCUGGGCAUGUACACUGGAGUGGAGCCACAGAAGUUCACGGUGUUUGCAGCAGGGAGGAGCCUGGCCACUCCUCUUCCUGGUUGGAACCUGGAAUUUAUUUUGUGAGGCGGGAAGCCUAUACUGGGGAGACUCUUGCUCUGCUGAGUCCCCAUUCCCCCUUUAUUUUCCUUUUUGCCCAAUAAAUCCUAUUAUUCUCAGUCUUCAAAUUGUCUGUGAGCCUAAUCUUUCAUGGCCAUGUGACAAGGACCCCGUCAUUAGCUGAGCUAAGGAAAAGUCCUGCGACAUCAGAAGGCUGAGUCCCAGGUCCUUUGUUCCAAGAGCUGAGCUUCCUCAUGGGAUGUGGGGAGGGGGGUCAGCGCAGGUGAUCGGGAGGACUGAGGCUGUUGGAGGGGGACCCCAGAGGGAGGCUUCAGUGGCUGCAUCCACAACUGGGCCACCUGGGCAUCCUUCUGAGGCAGGUUUCUCUCCACGUGCAUGGCGUGGCCCUUCCACACAGCUGUCACAAGCUAGGAGGCUCACAUGCUCUUGGGAUUCUCGGGACAUCAUGGGUCCCUGAGGGUGGCGCAGGCUGAGGGUGUGCUCCCCCGCCGGCCUGGCACAAAAACAGUAACAUUAACAUGCUUCUCCAGACCAAAGAGGCUGCUCUCAGUGUAAUCAAUGAUGGCAGGGACUUCGAAAUGUGCGUUUCCAGUGAACAACAAUGUUUAGCCGCAUGUAGUCAUCAGGCACACCUAACUGGCUCCGGAAAGUGUUAUGUUGUGAAUUAAGAUGACUGACGGAGAAAUGUCAGUUUUAUUAACAUUCUUCCUUCGGACGAUAAUUUUAUGUCUAUAAGGAUGAAUUACAAAGGACUUAAUGAAGGCGUCAGUCCAGAAUGAUGGGGUCCUUUUAGCAAAGCCUGCUUCCUUUCCUCGCUCUGUGUGUGGAGGUUUGAUCUCUGCGUGGGGUAUGGUUUCCACGUGCUGGACAUGAUUGGGCAAAAAGUCAACAAAACAGGCUGCUUGGCUUCAGGCUGACUGUGUAAAAGCCUCACCGGCUCAAGGAGGGAUCGUCCUGGGCCCGACGGCAGCGAGUGAAAUAGCAGCAGCGUUGCCAUGGAAGAUGGUUCCGUGGCACCCAGACAUCAGCAGUGGGGCUGAUGGGACUCACAUCCACUCCAUCACGACUUCAUCUCCCAGGAAAGUGUCCUCCGGAGCUGGGAAGGUUCUUCCUUUGCCUCAGUCCCCGUUUCCUGCUCGUGUUCUGCCCAGGAGCCUGUGCAAAGGGCCCGUUGCCUCUCUCCGGCCCCUUGUGAUGACUCCUCUCUGGGAAGUCCCCCACUUCCCGCACAUUCCACUCUAGAAAUUCCUUCUCUCUGCAGCGAUCUGGUCAUGUUUUCAAAAGAGUCCCUGUAGAAGAGAGCCUGAGUUGGGUGCAGCAUCAAGGGCUCAGGUGCAUGGUUGAUAAGCCUGUAAGAAUGAGGAAAUCCACACCUUCCCUGCUGUGCUCUGAA
rnacentral:lncRNA from 1 species